rnacentral:misc_RNA from 1 species
AGCAGCCGCGGUAAUUCCAGCUCCAAUAGCGUAUAUUAAAGUUGUUGCAGUUAAAAAGCUCGUAGUUGAACUUCGGGGUUUACUCAUUGGUCAGGCUUAAUUGUCUGUACUGGUGAGAUAAAUCUCUACCUUCUGAGGAACUUUCAUGCCAUUUAUUUGGUGUGAUUGGAAAUCAGGACUGUUACUUUGAAAAAAUUAGAGUGUUUAAAGCAGGCUAACGUCUGAAUACAUUAGCAUGGAAUAAUGAAAUAGGACGGAUUGAUUCUAUUUCGUUGGUUUCUAGGGUCACCGUAAUGAUUAAUAGGGAUAGUUGGGGGCAUUAGUAUUCAAUUGUCAGAGGUGAAAUUCUUGGAUUUAUUGAAGACUAACUACAGCGAAAGCAUUUGCCAAGGAUGUUUUCAUUAAUCAAGAACGAAAGUUAGGGGAUCGAAGAUGAUCAGAUACCGUCGUAGUCUUAACCAUAAACUAUGCCGACUAGGGAUCAGAUGAUGUUAAUUUUUUAAUGACUCAUUCGGCGCCU